GUUGUCCUUAAAUUUAUCAAAAGUCCAUGCUAAAUCGGUUAAUGAAGCUUCCAUUGUGAGGAGGGAGGCCAUUUCUUCUGGUUCAGCUAAUCCUCCUUCAGAAAAUACUGCUUCAAAUUCUAAUAAUGAAGAUCAAAAUAAUCCAGUUGCUGCUGUAGAUUCUUCUGAUUCAGCUAAUCCACCUUCAGAAAAUACUGCUUCAAAUUCUAAUAAUGAAGAUGAAAAUAAUCAAGUUGCUGCUUUAGAUACUACUUCAACUACAAAUCUAGAUACUACUCCAGCUUAUACCGCUACCCCAGCUCAGGAUAACGAAAAUGCAGCUCUAGGAUUGGCUCCAUUUACAUUUCUUAUACUUUCCCUUACAUUUUUGAUAAAUAAACUUUAAUAGUUUCGAGCU